CAUUAAACAGAGGGGAGCUGGGAGAGCCCGGCUGAGAGGGUACCCCCAAAAUGGUACCGACCCGUUAAACCUGAUCUGGAUAAUGCCAGCGCAGGGAUCAUAGUCGUCAUCUGC
rnacentral:ncRNA from 1 species